GCAGAGGUUGCAGUGAGCCGAGAUCACGCCAUUUCAGUCCAGCUGGGAGACAGAGCAAGACUCCGUCUUGAGAACAAACAAACAAACAGACAGACAGACAAAAAAACACGCAACACUCUAUUAACGCAUGAAUGUAUUCUCACCGAACAAGAUUCAAACAGUAUGAAUGAACAUAUUGCAAAUGUUUUUAAGUGUUUUUGAAAACUUUCAUUUUGAAACAAUUUCAAACUUAGUUGAAAAGUUGCAAGGAUGGCACAAAAACCUUCUAUUAAUACAUAGCUUUUAGCAGGAUUCCUCAGUUGUUAACAAUUUGCCACAUUUGCUUUAUAAUUUUUGCUCUGUCUCUACAUACUUUUAAGAUCUGAGCCAUUUGAAAUAUAAUGCCCCCUUAUAAUAGUUCCGUGGGUCUUUCCUAAAAACAAGUCAUUAUCUUCCAUAAUCCAGUACAGUUGUUCAAAUCAAGAAAAUUAACAUGGAUGCAAUAGUAUUAUCUCAUCUGCAGACCUUCUUCAAAUUUCACCAAUUGUCUCAAUAAUACCAUCCUUUUUAGCAUUUUUUUGGCUGAUUCCCACUACAAACUAUGAAAGCACAAAUGUCUCUCCUCUGCCUUGCCCAGAGGUUCCUCUUUCAAUCAUAGGGGAGGUGCCGAUAGGGUCUGUCUUUCAUUUUUCUCAAUGGAAGCACAUUCCCCACUUCUCAAUUUGCCUUGGGAGCUCUUAUUUCAAUCUCUUCUCAAUCCUUCGAAGCAGGACUCCUCCCUAGCCAUAUUCUACACAGAAGGAAACAGAAACUCAGCGUGAGGACGGCUCCUGCCCUGCGACCUCAGGUCCCCCAGCUGCCUUGCUAAGAGUUGAACCGUGCCCCCAGCCCCUACCCUGAUACAUUUCAGCAAAUUGAUAUGCAAGGCCCCUUUCCAGGCCCUGGGAACAUGAAGAGGAAGUUGCUGAUGGCUGUGCUCAAAGACUUCCCAGGCUAGUGCAAGGGACAGGAGAGGGCGGCCCUGCUGGAAGCUCAGUGAGGAGCCCUGCGGUGGGGAGUGGUUGAAGCCGUUAAGUCCUCUGGUGACCUAUGGGUGUGGAGGCUGGACCAGAGGGCCUUAAGGGGUAGCCCUGCAGGUCCCAACCCCAUUCUUGGUGGAAGUGUUGGCUGAGGUCUCUGGAGUUGAGUGGGGUGGCAGAACUGGGCACUCUCAUGACAGGAGAGGGGGGAUGGGCAGGAGAGGUGUUCAGAAAAGGAGUGCAGGGAGGGCGGAAGAGCCGCUGUGUGAGUUUCCCCCAGCCCCUUGAGCAGCUGUGGGCCUCCUGCCCAGUCCCCAUGCUGGGACCGAGAGGGCAAAGCGUGCAGAGAAGGCUGCACACCCUGCAGCCUCAGCCAGCGCGUGAUAGGGGAGCUCUGGGCAGGGACAAAGCUGCAGUCCCUGUCCCUGAAUGUCGGGGCGGGGGGGGGCGGGGAUAGAAAGGAGAAAAUGGGGCAGAGAGAAAAGAAAGCGGUGGCGUGCACAUGCCCAGGCCCUUUGCUCCACUUUCCAUGCUAUAUGAGACACUUCCCAAAAUUCACACUCCCUGGGACCCUGAGGAUGGGGGCUGUAUCAGAGGAAUUAAUUCAGUCACAGGAGGACAGGAGUCCAGCUCUGACUCAGUCCCAGUGGAGCAUCGUAGAAAACCGACAACCAGUGUCCAAGGAGCCCACUUUGGUGUCUGAUGGGUCACCAGGAAGAGUUUAUUAGAUUCCUGAAAAUCAUAAGUAAGCAUCCCUGCUUUGUGGAAUUUCAGUUGGUGAGUGACAAUGCCAAGUAUGCAAUUUGUCCUUCAACUUUUCAUUUAUGCCACACCGCGUGCUGGGCUCUCUGCAGGUGCUGGUGAAACAGACAUGAAAAGGCACAACCCCUGCCUCGGGAUCUGGUGGCAAGAUCAACAGGUAAACUGCAGGUCUGAUACGGAUUGACAGGUGCCACUCAGAGUGAGUACGGGUGGCAGAAACUCAGAGGGGUCC
rnacentral:lncRNA from 1 species